rnacentral:lncRNA from 1 species
CUGAGGUCAUCGGCCUGAGAGAAGGUACAUCUGCAUCCUCCGGGGUAAAGGCAGAAUAUUGGGGUCUAUUUCGGAAAUCCAAGGAACCCAAUUGCUUGAUCUGGCUUCAAGCCUGGGCAACGUGGCGAGAUCCCCUCUCCACAAAAAUACAAAAAUUAGCCAGGCGAUGUGGGAGGCAUCUCUACUCCCAACUACUCAGGAGGCUGAGGCGGGAGGAUCGCUGGAGCCUGGGAGGUCGGGGCUGCAGGGAGCCCUGAUCCUGCCACUGCACUCCAGCCCAGGCGACAGAGUGAGACCCUGCCUCAAAAAUAAUCAUAAAUACUGAGUUCGGGGAGGUUCAUUAUGAUUGAUGCACUUGAGUUACCGAUCUGGGUCGAGGGUUCAGUGAAGCUUUGGUUUACAUCUUGUGCAGCUAACCAUGUUGAGCACAGAGCAUGAGACUUUGUCAUGAGGAGGGAGGAUUAUGGAUUAGGCUUCUGGACUCGUGGUUCGUGAUGUUGUCACAUUAGAAACAGAUCUAGCACGGUUACAAGUUUAGAUCUGAAGUGACACAAAA